GAUGAACGCUGGCGGCGUGCCUAAUACAUGCAAGUCGAGCGAACAGACGAGGAGCUUGCUCCUCUGACGUUAUCGGCGGACGGGUGAGUAACACGUGGAUAACCUACCUAUAAGACUGGGAUAACUUCGGGAAACCGUAGCUAAUACCGGAUAACAUGUUGAACCGCAUGGUUCAACAGUGAAAGACGGUCUUGCUGUCACUUAUAGAUGGAUCCGCGCCGCAUUAGCUAGUUGGUAAGGUAACGGCUUACCAAGGCAACGAUGCGUAGCCGACCUGAGAGGGUGAUCGGCCACACUGGAACUGAGACACGGUCCAGACUCCUACGGGAGGAAGCAGUAGGGAAUCUUCCGCAAAGGGCGAAAGCCUGACGGAGCAACGCCGCGUGAGUGAAGAAGGUCUUCGGAUCGUAAAACUCUGUUAUUAGGGAAGAACAAAUGUGUAAGUAACUAUGCACGUCUUGACGGUACCUAAUCAGAAAGCCACGGCUAACUACGUG
rnacentral:rRNA from 1 species